UACGGGGGGAGCAAACGUUGUUCGGAAUCACUGGGCUUAAAGGGCGCGUAGGCGGGCUGUCAAGUCUGGGGUGAAAUGCCGCGGCUCAACCGUGGAACUGCCUUAGAUACUGACGGCCUCGAGGGAGGUAGGGGCGUGCGGAACUGUAGGUGGAGCGGUGAAAUGCGUUGAUAUCUACAGGAACUCCGGUGGCGAAAGCGGCGCGCUGGACCUCUUCUGACGCUGAGGCGCGAAAGCUAGGGGAGCAAACGGG
rnacentral:rRNA from 1 species